rnacentral:rRNA from 1 species
UACGAAGGGGGCUAGCGUUGUUCGGAAUUACUGGGCGUAAAAGGCGCGUAGGUGGCGUGUCGCGUCUGCCGUGAAAGCCCAUGGCUUAACUGUGGGUCUGCGGUGGAUACGGGCAGGCUGGAGGCUGGUAGGGGCAAGCGGAAUUCCUGGUGUAGCGGUGAAAUGCGUAGAGAUCGGAAAGAACACCAACGGCGAAAGCACUCUGCUGGGCCGACACUGACACUGAGAGACGAAAGCUAGGGGAGCGAAUGGG